rnacentral:rRNA from 1 species
AGCGAACGCUGGCGGCAGGCCUAACACAUGCAAGUCGAACGAACCCUUCGGGGUUAGUGGCGGACGGGUGAGUAACACGCGGGAACGUGCCUUUAGGUUCGGAAUAACUCAGGGAAACUUGUGCUAAUACCGAAUGUGCCCUUCGGGGGAAAGAUUUAUCGCCUUUAGAGCGGCCCGCGUCUGAUUAGCUAGUUGGUGAGGUAAUGGCUCACCAAGGCUACGAUCAGUAGCUGGUCUGAGAGGAUGACCAGCCACAUUGGGACUGAGGCACGGCCCAAACUCCUACGGGAGGCAGCAGUGGGGAAUCUUGCGCAAUGGGCGAAAGCCUGACGCAGCCAUGCCGCGUGGAUGAUGAAGGUCUUAGGAUUGUAAAAUCCUUUCACCGGUGAAGAUAAUGACUGUAGCCGGAGAAGAAGCCCCGGCUAACUUCGUGCCAGCCGCCGCGGUAAUAC